rnacentral:rRNA from 1 species
UACGGAGGGUGCAAGCGUUAUCCGGAUUCACUGGGUUUAAAGGGUGCGUAGGUGGGUCUGUAAGUCAGUGGUGAAAUCUCCGAGCUUAACUCGGAAACUGCCAUUGAUACUAUAGAUCUUGAAUCAUCUGGAGGUAAGCGGAAUAUGUCAUGUAGCGGAUGAAAUGCUUAGAUAUGACAUAGAACACCAAAUUGCGAAGGCAGCUUACUACGGGUGCAUUGACACUGAGGCACGAAAGCGUGGGGAUCAAACAGG